CUUGUUACAAUGUGAUUUAUUCGUUUGGUUGCAAGUGAAUUGUCCCACUGUUAUUUUGGAACUUCACAAAACAUUCCGCUCAACUGUUCAAAUAUUGAUGCAGUGUCAAUAGCUGCUGCAGCAUCCUUCAAUUCCUACCUUUACUGAACCACUAUUCUACGUACAUCACCUAUCAGCAUAAGAUCGCCCCCUCUGUAAGAAUCUGCUCAUAAUAUCAAUGAUCAUACCGCGCAUUCAACGCACAGUUCAGUGACCUUUACACUAGUUUUAACGCCUGUACGCGUGUGAAGAUCUACAUACAAUCAACGAAGAAUGUACACAUCAAGGUCACCUUUCCAUACACACUUUGCAUAUGCCCAAUCAACUUACAACCUGAAAGUGAAGUGACUACUGCUAACAUGAGUUGAUAGUCACUUCUUAGUUCUAAUUCCCGCAACACUGAAGGCCCUUGUUCUCCUAUGGCCCUGUUUUGGAGGAUUUGUGCGUAGGAAUAUCCCCACAUGGACAACAUAAACCGCAGGUAGACGGCGCAGAUGGGGUGCUCAACGCGCAACACAAAAAAAGAAAAAAAUAAGAUAUAUGUGCUUGAGGACACAGAACCAGCUUACUAGCCCAUAACAAAGUUAAUGCAAGUUAAGGAAGUUAAGGUCGUUUCCCAGUACCCUACUAAUUGUGUAGCAUGAAGAUACACAGUAAUCACCAACCAACACGCGUCAUCAUUGCCCGUAAAAUCAAGACACUAGUGCAAGGGAACAAAACCAGAAAAUUUUCAGGCCGGACAAUUUAACUUCUUCGUGUCAAACCCAGGAUCAUGGUACAGAGAUGCUUUCCUCUCUAAGGGGUCCCACAUGUGGUAGCAGCUGGUUAAGGAUGACAACAAAACAAAAAAACCUAGCCGUCAGGAUAGCACUGAGCGAACAUGAUCCAAAUGCAGCUCAGUCAAACAGACUGAAGCCCAUGUCCUGCACAACAACAGAACAAUACAGAUAGUGAGUGACGGCUUUGUGCGAAAUUAACUAAACCCUAACCUAAAUUAUAACCCUAAUAAGCACCCUGCACUCCCUUGUGCAGGAAUUUUAACCAUCUCUAGCGGCGGAAAGAAAUGUGAAAAAUGGAAGAAAUUGAAGAAAGAAAAAAUAAUCCAUUUGAGACAGACUUGUACCAUGCUGUGAUAAAGAUAGGAGAUGACCGAACAGAUAUAAAUACCAAUGGUAUGCAACCCCAACGUAAUAUUUAAUACCCUCUACAUUGAAAUUCCAACGACAUAAAAUGCAAAUCACAUGUGCCUCAUUAAAGACAACGAAACGUACAUCAUCUGACUCUUCCUUCUCCUCCUCCUUCUUGGCUUCUUCCUUCUCCUCGGCAGCAGGGGCAGCAGAACCGCCACCAGCGCCUGCAGAAGACACCACAACACCGCCACCUCCACCUGAGGGUACGGAUGCGAACUUUUCCUUUCCUGCUGCAAUAACUUCCAAGAUAUCUUUUCCCUCGAGCUCCUUCAACAAUAGGCUUACUCUAGCCGCAUCUGCCUCAGCACCGACUG
rnacentral:lncRNA from 1 species